UUCCUUCUUACCGCCGCCACCCCUCUCUUCUCUCUUCUUUCUUCCCCGAACUCCCUUCACUCCCUUCGCUUCCCCACCUCCCUUCGGAGCCGACCACCUCAACCUCACCUCCCCAUGCAAUGGACGGCUGCCGAGGCCCCGUCUGGCAGCCCUUGGCCUGGUCGCGGCUGGAUCCGGCUGCCCUCGGCCCCAACGGAGUUGGAUUCGACCUUCCUCGGCCCCACCAUCAUGGAUCCGUCGCUGCAGAUCUGAACGCCCUCGGCCCUGACGUCGCGGCUCUCGUCGACCUAGGCCCUCCCUUUCUCGGUACUUUCUCUCUCACUAUCUUCCUCUCUCGGUUCCCGAUCACUCUCUCCCUCUGUCGGUUAUCGAGGGCAUCCUCCGCCGAUCCCCGUCACUGCCGCCUACCUCCUCUGUGGGUUACUAUGGGUUUAGGUUUUAGUGCGGCCUGUGAGCGGACCGUGCCUUUUUUGUGUGCCGAAAACACAUCAAUGGCGGGUUUGUACGUGCAACCGCCACUGAGAAACCCCAUACCAGUAGUGUAUUUGCGUCGAACAAUAUCAUGUCAGUGGCGCAGGGUUAAUCAGUAGAGGUUCAGCAACCCGCCACUGAUCCAAUUUUUCAACUGCCACUGUUAGCACUUUACAUAGUAGUGUACCAUGGCAGUCAGCGCUUGCCCCGCAUUUCUGCUACCGGAGGCGACAGGAUCGCAGGGGGAGAUGACAGCCUUAUGAAUUCCCACAUAAAUGACAACUAUAGCAGUGGCGCUACAUACAACUCAUAUUCUCUCUAUAUUUGUUCUUUAUGAACCUCCAAAAAUUAAAAUGGGAAGUCUAGAGACCUGCGGCCACACUACAUCUCAUAUUCUCUCUACUUAUAUGGCGCAAAUUGAAUGUUGCCAAAAAAUGUAAGGCUAAGCUAACUGCCUCAGACCACUAGACUUGUGGUAAAUUUUUUGCUCGUGCUGCACUCAGACCCUAAAAUCAAAGGGCCUCCCUCCCCUGCCGCCGCACCACACAUUCCCUAGUAAAGAUUUCAAGCUCCUGCUUUGAAGAAGGCCCAGAUCAAAGGAGCUAGGAUGGCAUCGAUGGAUAACCCAAGGCGAACGACCAUGCAGGCAACACACAGGUUCAAUUCUGGCUACAACUUUUACCAAGGUUUGGGCAUCAUGGAGUAUACCCGGUACCUGCUUUUGAUCUCGGUGGCUACUGUUGGCGGAUCAAGCUCUAACCAAAUGGGAAAAUGCAAGAUGGAGGUUUUUAUGUGUCUGUUUCUGUCAAUUUUGUCAGCAAGAACGCCAAGGUCCAGGUGCUCUCUAAGGUCAGCUUGGUCGACAAGACAACCAACAGUCUGGAGCUAUUGGUGAUGCUCAACAAGACGACGCUCAUGUUGUUCUCUGCUGACUCCAUCGGCCCAGUUAGAAGAUUUGUAGGUGCAAACUUGUUAAAGUUGACCAUGUCCGAUGUAGUCAGCAAAGAGUAACACAGGAGCGGCGAACAUUUGAGCACCAGAACGCCUCCAGAUUGUUGGUCGUCUAGUCGACCAACCUGACCUAAAAGAGCACCUGGGCCUCGGCGUUUUCUCUGAAAAAAUUGGCGAGAACGAACACAUGAAAAACUUCAUUUUCCAUUUGCCCAUUAGGGUAGAACUUGAUGCGCCAUCGCUAUAGACACCAAGAUCGAAAGCAGGGGACUGUAUAUACUCUCUGAUGCCCAAAUCUUGGUAAAAGUUGUAGCCAUCGAACUCGAACCAUUGUGUGGCCCACACAGUCGUUCGGCUUGGGGUAACCAUUGAUGCGAUCCUAGCUCCUUCGAUCUCAGGCUUCUUCCAAGUGGGACCUUGAGUGGAGAAAUUAAUGAUGGUGGAGGAGGAGAUGGGAUGAGAUGGUUCUGGAACCGGGAAAAACUUAGAUAGGGAACAUGCGGGGGUGGCUAGGGAGGGAGGCGUGUCGAUUUUAUGGUUUGAGUGUAGCACGGGCAAAAAAUUCCAUGAGUCUGAUGGUCUGAGGCAGCUAGCUUAGCCUUUCAUUUUAUUUUUUGGCAAUUCAAUUUGCGCCUUAUAAGCAAUAUAAGCUAUAGUGUAGCCGCUGGUCACUAGACUUGACAUUUUAUUUUCUGGAGAGAUUCAUAAAGAAGAAAUGAAUUAGAGAGAAUAUGAGUUGUACGCAACGGCCACUACUAGUUGUCAUUUUUUGGAAAUUCGUAAAAGAGAAUAUGUUGGUUUGCAAUGGUUUGAUGUUGAUUUUCAAUAAGUGGUUUCAUGUUGAUUGGCAAAUGCAUCUCAAUAAAAGGAGUGGUUUCAUAUUUAUUUGCAAAUUGCAUGCAAUAGAUAGGAUUUAUUAGUGAAGCUUCAUUGCAAAGGUUGAAAUGGCAUGGGAGGAAUUGUAGAUCAGAAAAUGAUAGGAUGUGGCAUAGAGCCAAAUCUUGGGCAUAUAAUGGCAACAUAAAAAAAUUAGGUUGUUGGAUGAAAGUUGGAAAACACUUGCAUCACGAAAAGGGCUCAUCAUGCUAGAUGUUUAAUGGACUUCAACCCUAAGUACCCCAUUUUAAUUUGGCCAAACUUGCAUGAAAAGUCAUUCUAGUGACCUUGAAUUUAAUUAGUCCAUGGGUUCCUUUUGACAUAAUGAGUUGUGACUGGGAGAAAGUUUGGUGAGCUCGUAGGAUGAGAAGGGGACAGGAGUUACACUUUGCUCGAAUGGUACUGUCCUCUAAAAAGGGGCAUUAAUUACAAGAGAUGUCUCAGUUAACAUGAAGCAUGUGUAGACAACAAUUGUCAGUUAUGGUGGUGUCGUUGUAUCUCAGCUCACAUACACUCCGUAUAGCAAUCACAUGUGUGUUCAUUAUCCUUUGUGUGCACAUACGCUGGCUUUCUUCCUAUGUAGGCACGGCAGGUUAAAAUUUCUUUCUGGGGUCUUCGUGAGGGUGUGCUUUAGAGAGAAGCUCACAUUUGAAACCAUCAAACCAAAUAAAUUCAAGGUAGGAUCGGUACAUGAGGCAUCGGGAGGACACUAGUUGUCAAAGGCCAGAAUACUACGGUAGGAUCGGUUUGAGAAUGUGUUCCAUUGUUUCGUUGCCAUAGCGUCAUCAUCCUUUGUCGUGGUCGACGAGUCUAACCCCUUCAGGCCUUCUAUUGCCAAGAACCUUCUAUACCUACAUAGCCAUUGAUUCUUUUGUAGAGCUUGAUUGAUAUGUACCAGAUUGUGGCAGCGUGGUUGUCUGCUGCACAAAAAGAGCUGACGGUAGCGCAGAUAGGUGCUGCAGGCGACUCGAUAACGGUGGCAAUGCUCCACCUGCAUGGAUGCUUUGACAUGUCUUUCCCCUAGCAGUUGAAAAAGAAAUGAGUAUUGUUGACAUAAGCAGCAAAGUAAUCAGUGUUGUUCUUUUUCUCAUGUGUAAAUUACCCAGCAACUAAAAUUAAUUAGUUGUUUCAAAUUACAAGAAAAGUAAGAUCGAUACCCGAAGUCUUGUACUGUAUACUCCGACUUCAGUCAUACUACAUGCAUUUAACAAUUUCUUACGAAACUUAAUUUUCUCCAAAGUAGGGAGAAAGACAUGAUUGAUUGAUUGAGAUCCAGUUAAUUGCUAGAUUCAAUUAUUCUGACACUGAACUAAACAAAAAUUGCUCCCAAAACUAUUUUGGGUUGUCCAUUCAUUUUGAUCAAGGUUUAUAUUUGACGUGCUAAUCUGCUGAGUGCGAGCGACUGGAACUUGAAGGGGAAUUGUUGAAUCAGUCAGGGUGGCCACUGGGGAUUAGGGAAGUAGACCGUCAGGGCAUCAAAUUAUCCCAAUUUUUUUUAGAGGUCAAAUUAUCCCAAAUUGCGCCUGGAUUUUUGGCAUGGGAAGUCAUUUGUCGCCUUGAUUGGGCCGUAGGGAUAGGCCAAUGUCCACACGUUCUGACGUUCGGUCGAUCCGUUCGGAUUUUAGAUCUUUUGUGAAUUGAUACCCGAACUAGUAAUUCCUCGGGGGGAUAUUUCUUGUCAUGUGGCGUAUAACUUUAUACUAAAUCUGGAACAAGUAAUAUGAGUCGGAGGAAUUGUAUUAAAUCAGCGACAAUUAUUAUGUGUCGCGUAUAACUUUAUACUAAAUCUGGAACAAGUAAUAUGAGUCGGAGGAAUUGUAUUAAAUCAGCGACAAUUAUUGUGUGUCGGAGAGAAUAGAAUAAAUUUUGGACCAUAAACUUUUUAGCCAAAUUUUUGUUCGGUCAUUUCAGUCUCGGUAUUUUCUGUUCCGGUCUCGUCCUAUUAGUUUUGGUUAAGGUCUUCGGUUUUAUUUUGGCUAAAAAUUUAUGGUCUAAAAUUUAUUCUACUCCCUCUAACCCAUAUUCUACCCUGGACCUGUACAAUUUACUCGUGGCUACAGAUGGGCUCAACUGGGCCAUAUCGGAUCGGCAUAGCGGCCACAUGGACCGGAUUAGACCGUACAUCUCUGUGGGCCGCGUUCUGGAUUUAUUUUUUGUUCAUCACUGAUCCAUACCAGAGCACUUCAACUCCCCUAAAAACACAAAAAAGAAAGAGCAUUUCAACGUGGGUGAGUCAUGAGUGGGUCCAAAUCGAAGCGGAGCCAUGGCGGCGGGGCGCUGCGCCUCUCGCCGCCGGCCCGCCUCCGGCGCCGCUUCCUCUCUCUUACCGCCCCACCAUACCCGCUCUAGUCGACUUCCCGCGGCUGCAUGCGUGCGGGAGGAGGCGCUCUACUUCCACGAUGCCCUGGGAGAAACACAAUCCCUCGACCGCCUUGAGAAGAAGUACUACUUCCCGGACCAAUCCCUAAACGCAACGCCUUCGUCUCCUCUGAUGCCGCUGGAGCCUGGCGCCGGCAAGGGGCUCGUCUUCUUCGAGGAAGACAAGGAGGGCAACCUCCAUUCUUUGCUUCCAUCCCCAAAAGCAAAGGUCCUUUGCUUAUUGCCGCAGCAGCAAGUGCAUCCCUUCAUUUCAUUUGGAUCUGAUUCGCCCUGUCUGUCUAGGGCAGAUUACUAGAGUUCGUGUGCCACCAAACUGAUUCUUGGACUUGGGUCCUGUAGGCGAUUGAUUACCUGGGGUGCGUUUCUGACUGAAACCUGAUGCUCUUUCAUAGUCUCUGCAUUUCUUGAUGCAGUAACACAACGCCCCUCUGUUCACAACACAGUCGUCAGUUAGAGAAUCAAUCUGCAAGAAUUAUGUGGUGUGCAUUCAAUUGCAGCCUUGUCACUUGUGUGACAGUGGAAUCGGUCCGUUCCUUCAGAUGAAUAUUUCAUUUGCUGCUUCAAGUGAAUCAUGGCCACUUUGUUAACGUCACAAGAAAACUAACAGGUUAUAUCCAUUGUAGUGCAUCUUUUGAUUCAUUUUCAUGGUUGUAUACUACCACACUUUGUUAGCUAUAUGACCACAUUGUAUCGACUCAAUUUCUUGACACACUUGUGGUGGACACACUUUGAUAUAUAUGAGCACCAGAAUUUAAACACUACUAGGUGGAAUCAUGGGAUGUCCUCCAUAAUUGCACUGCCCCACCCAGACUCCGAGAGGUUGUUGGGACUUCCUUUACCUUAUUGUGUUUCGACACUCUCUGUGGAGGCUCUAAUACUAAUUAAUGUGCCCUACUCAUACAUUUACUCCUAUAUCAAACACAUGCACUAGAAAUUUUAUUUGUUUGUGUUAUCGUUCUUCAAUAUAUAUUUGGUCGGCAAAAUAUUGCUCUGCAUCUCCAAUCAAGGUGUCCAUCAUGCUAAGGCUUGGAAAGGAACUCCCUCCACAUGUACCGUACCACCAUAACACCUGAGCAUGGGUAUGUGAGGUGUUGGGAAUAUCCUGGUCACCGUGUUGGUAAUAUCGACGACAACAUAUCUUGGGAAUAUGCUUAUGAUGUGAUCAUCGGGGUUCCCGUCAAGCGGGGAAAGAGGGUUCAGAUCAGAGUUAACCGACGAAAGAUAUUCAGGAUGUAGGGAUUAAGAGGUUUUAGGGAUUUCUGCAAAAGAAGAAUGCUUGUUUAGGUUCGGCUGGGCGGGUAAAUGUAAAUUGAUGUUUUUGGACAUGAGACGUAUGAUUGUAACCAUAGGGCUGACAAGUGACAAAAUGCAGGGGGCUGCGAUAUUGCUAGAUAA